rnacentral:rRNA from 1 species
CCCUUAGAUGUUCUGGGCUGCACGCGCGCUACACUGAUGCGAUCAACAAGUUUUUCCUAUGUCGAUAGACACGGGUAAUCUUUUGAACUCGCAUCGUGAUGGGGAUAGAUUAUUGCAAUUAUUAAUCUUCAACGAGGAAUUCCUAGUAGGUGCAAAUCAUCAGUUUGCAUCGAUUACGUCCCUGCCCUUUGUACACACCGCCCGUCGCUGCUACCGAUUGGUUGAUCUGGUGAAUUAUUCGGACUGCCGGCUGAAGGGGUUUCCUCAUCUGCCAGCGGAAAGUCUUGUUAACCCUAUCAACUAGAGGAAGCAGAAGUCGUAACA